rnacentral:rRNA from 1 species
GUGCCAGCCGCCGCGGUAAAACGUAGGAGGCGAGCGUUAUCCGGAUUUACUGGGCGUAAAGCGCGUGCAGGCGGCCCGGCAAGUUGGCUGUGAAAGCCCCCGGCUCAACCGGGGGAGGUCGGUCAAAACUGCCGGUGCUAGAGGAUGGGAGAGGGAGAUGGAAUUCCGGGUGUAGUGGUGAAAUGCGUAGAGAUCCGGAGGAACACCAGUGGCGAAAGCGAUCUUCUGGCCCAUCACUGACGCUCAGACGCGAAAGCUAGGGGAGCGAACGGGAUUAGAGACCCCGGUAGUCCUAGCCGUAAACGAUGUAGACUAGGCGUGGGCGGGUUCAAAUCCGUCCGUGCCGCAGCCAACGCGAUAAGUCUACCGCCUGGGGACUACGGCCGCAAGGUUAAAACUCAAAGAAAUUGGCGG